rnacentral:rRNA from 1 species
AUUGAACGCUGGCGGCAGGCCUAACACAUGCAAGUCGAGCGGAUGAAGGGAGCUUGCUCCUGGAUUCAGCGGCGGACGGGUGAGUAAUGCCUAGGAAUCUGCCUGGUAGUGGGGGAUAACGUCCGGAAACGGGCGCUAAUACCGCAUACGUCCUGAGGGAGAAAGUGGGGGAUCUUCGGACCUCACGCUAUCCGAUGAGCCUAGGUCGGAUUAGCUAGUUGGUGGGGUAAAGGCCUACCAAGGCGACGAUCCGUAACUGGUCUGAGAGGAUGAUCAGUCACACUGGAACUGAGACACGGUCCAGACUCCUACGGGAGGCAGCAGUGGGGAAUAUUGGACAAUGGGCGAAAGCCUGAUCCAGCCAUGCCGCGUGUGUGAGGAAGGUCUUCGGAUUGUAAAGCACUUUAAGUUGGGAGGAAGGGCAGUAAGUUAAUACCUUGCUGUUUUGACGUUACCAACAGAAUAAGCACCGGCUAACUUCGUG